UGUUAAGAGCUCAAAAAAUUAUAAAUCUGAGUUCAUCCGAAAAUAGAUUGAUACAGCUUUCCAAUGACAUCUAUUUUUAGUGAUUUGGAGCAUGCUUGGUCACUCAAACAAUUCAGGAAAUGUACCAUUCAAAUUCUAUCAGAAUUGAAAACUUUGUUGGGUUUUACCUAUUCAAUUUUCAUCCUAUUGGAAAUUUGAUUU
rnacentral:lncRNA from 1 species